CACGUAGGGCACAAGCGUUGUCCGGAAUUAUUGGGCGUAAAGAGCUCGUAGGCGGUCUGUUACGUCUGCUGUGAAAACCCGGGGCUUAACCCUGGGCUUGCAGUGGAUACGGGCAGACUAGAGGCAGGUAGGGGAGAAUGGAAUUCCCGGUGUAGCGGUGAAAUGCGCAGAUAUCGGGAGGAACACCGGUGGCGAAGGCGGUUCUCUGGGCCUGACCUGACGCUGAGGAGCGAAAGCGUGGGGAGCGAACAGG
rnacentral:rRNA from 1 species